UACGUAGGGGGCAAGCGUUUGUCCGGAUUUAUUGGGGCGUAAAGGGUGCGUAGGUGGCGGGGUAAGUCAGGUGUGAAAUCUCGGAGCUCAACUCCGAAACUGCACUUGAUACUGCCUUGCUCGAGUACUGGAGAGGAGAUUGGAAUUUACGGUGUAGCAGUGAAAUGCGUAGAUAUCGUAAGGAAGACCAGUGGCGAAGGCGAAUCUCUGGACAGUUACUGACACUGAG
rnacentral:rRNA from 1 species